CGGAAGUGGCGUCAAUGGCCGGGGAGGGGGGACCAGGAAGAGACGGCUCGGUGCUUUGGGCGUGCGAGGCGCUGGAAAGGUGUGAGGGAUGGUGCUCAUUAAAGAGUUUCGAGUGGUACUACCUUGCUCUGUAGAAGAGUAUAAAGUGGGACAGUUAUUCUCUGUGGCUGAGGCUAGUAAGGACAACACCGGUGGUGGUGAAGGAAUUGAGGUGCUCCAAAAUGAACCCUACGAACGCGAGGGGGAGCAGGGGCAGUACACCCACAAGAUCUACCACCUCCAGAGCAAAGUUCCAGGAUUCAUCAAGAUGUUUGCCCCUGAAGGGUCCCUUGUUGUCCACGAAAGAGCCUGGAAUGCCUAUCCCUACUGUCGGACGGUCAUUACGAAUGAGUACAUGAAGGAUGAUUUCUUUGUCAAAAUUGAAACAUGGCACAAACCGGAUUUAGGUGAACAAGAAAAUGUCCAUGGGCUCGAUGCAGAUACCUGGAAAGAUGUGGAAGUUGUUCACAUAGACAUUGGUGAUCGGACACAAGUAUCAGAUGAUGAUUACAAGCCAGAUGAAGAUCCAGCUCUCUUCAAAUCUCUGAAGACGGGCAGAGGCCCUCUUGGUCCUGACUGGAAGCGGGAACUAGCCAAUAAUGAAGAUUGUCCCCACAUGUGUGCCUACAAACUCGUGACAGUGAAGUUCCGCUGGUGGGGCCUUCAGGGCCGGGUGGAAAAGUUUAUCCAAAAGCAAGAAAGACGCCUCUUUACCAACUUCCACAGGCAGCUCUUCUGCUGGUUGGAUAAGUGGGUGGAUUUAAGCAUGGCUGACAUCCGGCGGAUGGAGGAGGAGACGCAGAGAGAGCUUGAUGAGAUGCGCCAGAAGGGCACAGUGAGAGGCAUGACUGUCGGGGAUGAAUGACUGCCCCCCUGCUGCUUAGGCCAAGAAAUGACAAGAUUUCAGCUUGGUGUCCAGAAGAACAAGUUUGGGGCCCAAGAGCCUCUUUUACUGAUGCAGUGCCCAUUCUGACCUGAGAUUGGACCUAUCCUCGUGGGACUUUCCCUUCUCUCUCUUCCUCUCUCUCGUCACCUGGGAAGGGGGAGAUGGGUUCUUUCUUUCAUUCCAUACUUUUGGUCCGAAAAUAUUCCAAGCUGUCCCUGAUUUUACCAGCCUGGGGAGCCCCAUGAAACUGCUGCAUAUUACUUACUGAUCAUGGAUUAAUAGGUGUCCUUACCGCAUGAAUGGGAUAUCAAAGGGGGCAAGGACCUUUCAGGGGUGGGGGGGCAUCUCCCUUUUUUCACACUGCAGGGUCAGGAAUGCAUGACUAUUAAUAACAUUAAUCUUAAUAUUCUUUAGAAUCAUACUUUGG